AUAUCUUCUUACAAAGAUACCCGCCAGAGUACUACAAGCCAAAUGCUUAAAACUCAAAGGACUUGACGGUGCCUCAAACCCACCUAGAGGAGCCUGUUCUACAAGCGAUAAUCCACGAUAAACCUUACCAUCCCUUGCCCUCAGCUUAUAUACCGCCGUCUCCAGCCUACCUUAUGAAAGGAAAAAAGUGAGCACAAUAGUCCAUACAACUAGAACGUCAGGUCCAGGCGUAGCCAAUGAGAUGGAAGAAAUGGGCUACAUUUUCUAAAAUAGAAAUAGUCACGGAGAGCACCCUGAAAAAGGUCUCAGAAGUAGAAUUUAGCAGUAAUUUUGGAAUAGUGAGCCAAAAUUAAACAGGAAAUGAAGCACGUACACACCGCCCGUCACCCUCUGCA
rnacentral:rRNA from 1 species